rnacentral:tRNA from 1 species
AAGAUAUUAGUUAAAUCAUAACACUGCCUUGUCAAGACAAAAUUAUGGGUUAAACCCCCAUAUAUCUUA